UCAUUAAUGGGGCUUGGAGUGAUUGGACUUGAAGGAGUAGGGGAGCCCUAAGCCUAAGCCCAAAGUGCACAAUGCAAGGAGUGAGUUUUGGUUAGCGUGCAUGCGAGUAGGAAGACAAGUACGAUAUCGAUUCCGUUUCUCAAAUUUGUGAGUCCAAUGAUUCAUUCUUAUUUGCUUGCAGCAGCAGCUACGCUACGCGACGCAACGCAACGCAACACAACACAAGCAAAACCAAAAAAUAAAAAAUAAAAAUUAAAAGAAGGCAAAGUUCUCGUGUUUGAUUCCUAAUGGUGACGAGAAAGCUGAUUCGCGAUUUGUUACUCUCCAAACGAUCCCUUCUUCUUCUUCAAUGAGUUCUCUAAGAAGAUUAAGGGCGAAGCUGUUAGAUUUUGCAUGUAUCUGAUGUGGAAAUAAGAGAGACCAAGAUGAUGGGCUCAUCUCCAGUAAUUAUUGUAAUGUUUCAAACACAGCAAAUCUAUUGUGUACGUGAUAGGAAUGGGGCAAUUACAGAAGGAGGCAAGGAUACAAUCCACACUGUAUUCUAUUUUUGGGCAUUACAACAAAUGGACCAAGAAGAUCGUGGAGAAGAUGGUAUUUACUUAAUGUGGAGACUAAGAGAGAUGCAACAGCAAGGCAUCCAAGCUCUCAUCUAGUUUUUGACAUGAUUGCUUUUUCAGGGAUUUGUAUAAUUGAACCUUUAUAUUAUAUACUACAUUUACUCAUUUCAUUUCUUGGGGCCAAGUUGUUAUAUCCCGAUCCUUCAAUUUUUUUAUGCUAACUAGAAAAAUAGUUUGCACUUUUGUGUUCAUUGAUGUAUGUUAGAUGAGCUAGGCAAUGUUUUUACUCUGCUCUCAAGCCUGGUAAAUUGUCUA